rfam:Oryza barthii chromosome 4, whole genome shotgun sequence.
AAUAAGUGCAGUUUUGCAAUAUUUACGUUCAACGUUUGACCGUUCGUCUUAUUUAAAAAAUUUUUAUGAUUAGUAUUUUUAUUGCUAUUAGAUGAUAAAACAUGAAUAGUACUUUAUGUGUGACUAAAUAUUUUCAAAUUUUCAUAAAUUUUUCAAAUAAGACGGACGGUCAAAUGUUAGGCACGGAUAUCCACGGCUGCACUUAUU